rnacentral:rRNA from 1 species
GAUGAACGCUAGCUACAGGCUUAACACAUGCAAGUCGAGGGGAAACGAUAGAGAAAGCUUGCUUUUUCUAGGCGUCGACCGGCGCACGGGUGAGUAACGCGUAUCCAACCUGCCCAUCACUUGGGGAUAACCUUGCGAAAGUAAGACUAAUACCCAGUGACGUCUCUAGAAGACAUCUGAAAGAGAUUAAAGAUUUAUCGGUGAUGGAUGGGGAUGCGUCUGAUUAUCUUGUUGGCGGGGUAACGGCCCACCAAGGCGACGAUCAUGAGGGGUUCUGAGAGGAAGGUCCCCCACAUUGGAACUGAGACACGGUCCAAACGCCUACGGGAGGCAGCAGUGAGGAAUAUUGGUCAAUGGACGAGAGCCUGAACCAGCCAAGUAGCGUGCAGGAUGACGGCCCUAUGGGUUGUAAACUGCUUUUAUAAGGGAAUAAAGUGAGUCUCGUGAGACUUUUUGCAUGUACCUUAUGAAUAAGGACCGGCUAAUUCCGUGCCAGCCGCCGCAGUAA